rnacentral:rRNA from 1 species
CCGCGGUAUUUUGACCGUGCUAAGGUAGCAUAAUCAUUAGUUUUUUAAUUGAAAGCUAGAAUGAAGGGUUGGAUGAAAAAUAAACUUUCUUAAUUUAAUUAUUAUAAAAUUUUAUUUUUAAGUUAAAAAGCUUAAAUUUUAUUAAAAGACGAGAAGACCCUAUAGAGUUUUAUUUUUUAUUAUUAUAUAUUUUUUAGAAUUAAUUAUUUUAUUUUAAUAAAAAAUUUAGUUGGGGUGAUUGAAAAAUUUAUUUAACUUUUUUUAAUUUUUUAUAUAAAUUAAUAGUUUAUUGAUCCAUAAAUAUGAUUAUAAGAUUAAAUUACCUUAGGGAUAACAGCGUAAUUUUAUUGAAGAGUU